GAGAGAGCGAGAGAGCAAGCUCCGUCGAUAGGUCUACUAGCAACAGCCCUGCUGCAGCAAGAGGGGAGAGAGGCAGCGCGAGACAGGGCUCGAGGGGAAGAAGUGACGCCGACCCCGGGGACCGGGCUGCCGUCGCCGUCCGGAGUCGCUUGCAGAAUCCUGCCCGGGCUCCGCCGACGGAGGAAGCUUCGCCCGUUGACGAUGCUGGGGAUAGGGCGCGCUUAAUCCCGCGGGGAGGGAGAGUGGGCAGACGCCGAAAGGGUUAACGGAAGGGAAAUUUCUGGAACCUUCUGUUCUGUGGCGCUCCGCAGCAAGCGGAGGGCUGAGCACUGCGCAGAUGGUGCACGGACGGAGCUCUUCGGUCCGGUUCGUCUCUCCCACUGGCCGACAGUGAAGAUGGCAGCUCUGCCUGGAAGUUCUGACGACACAGCCAGAUUUGAGCUUGGUCCUCCUGGCCGAGGAAGUCAUCUGAUUGUGCGGUGGAGCGGUAACUUUGCUUUCUCAUACGGCAGGGAACAUUAUUCCUUAGCCUUUCGUCAUAUCAAGCUUUAAAAAGUUUAGGGAUGUGGUAGCAUAAGCGUUUAUAUUACUCACUCACCGACAUCUCAAGAGUCAGGCGUGGUGGUUUAGCAGUAACGGCUGGGUUGAGAACCAGCUCCAACGUACCACGUUCUCUGUUUCCGUCUCCUUGCAGUAGCCUGUCCCCCGAACGGCAGUCUGAGAGAGAGAGAGAGAGGCUGCAUUUACACACGUACACCCACCGUGACCGAAUUUUGUUUCUGUUAGGUUGUAAAGGCCGUGCGCCCUGCAGUUUUAUCCCCGACGCCAUUUCUUUGCGCAGUAGCACAGAGGGGAGGAAGCCAUUUCCAAAGGCAGUGCCGUGGCAGGAAAAGGGAGGGAAGAAGACAAGACCGUAGGUGCCACUCCCCACUUUUUUUCCCUCCUUCCCUUCUGUUUCUUGCCCCCCUCCUUUUCUGCCACACGCCAUAGGGAAUUUCAGACUCUCACUGCAGUCGUCACAGCCCCUCCUGACUCACUGAGCCUUCGCUGGCUGUAGCUGGCUCCCUUGGAGCAUCCUUGCCUCCUGCAGCGCCAGUUCCGCAGAGCAGGGGAACAACAGGAAUAGCAGCAACAACGGUGGUCCCUGCAGCAAGACAGACAGGCGUAAAUACACACAUAUGUAAGAACAGCACAUACACAGCAGCUCCCGUACGAGGCAGCAGUGGAGGUAAUUCUGUACGGCUAGCAGCUCGACUAAGAAAUGACGUUCUGUUGCUUGGAAGAUGGGUGGGUUAAGUCUAUUUUAUUGAGCACUGUCUAAACGGAUGACCCUCGCGUUUUUCCCCAUCACAUGUUGUGGGGCAGUGGGCCCUGCUAAACUUGCAGUGGUAGCGCUUCUUAAAGGUAUUCCUUAGUCCUUUGGAAGGAGCUGCAUCUGGCAGCCCAUAUACUUACUAUGGCAUAUGCAUCCUUUCUGAUUUCAGCAUACGGAUGCAUUUGUUUUUAUUCCUUUUGCUAUUAUUUUUUUUUUUUUGCCACAGAGAUGGUUUAAUUGCAACUGAGUGCAGAGAGGGAAAGGAUAGUGAGAGAUAAAAUGAUUAUUUUAGUGUUAAACUUCAGCUAUAAAUUGGAUUGCACAUGAAUUGGUUCAUGUUACUGUUGGUAACUGAUGGUUACUGUUACCAGAUAAAUCUAUGGAACUUUGCAAGAUUAUGUGAAACAAGGCUAAGCAAGGGCCAUGGUAUAUUUCUAUAAGUCAGCAGUGAUUCUGGGCAUGAGUGGUAUCGUUACUGUAUGUUAGUGAUACGGGUAACUGUUUCAAAAUGGUUGUCAGAGUUUUGCCUCAAAAGGACUUGGAAAAGCUGUGAUUUCUUACUCCCUCUGACUCUCCGUGUGUGACACUGUACAAGCUGAAUCAUUUCUCUGUAUUUUGGUUUUCUUCCUUUGUAAAGCGGGGUUUAGUAUACCUCUCAGCCUUAGUGCGGCAUUAUGACGCAGUAUUCGUUAAUGCGUUGGGUCUGCUGGCAAAAUACAUGCAAUUUUCUUGGGAGUUUCACUGUUCAAGGACCGCAGAAUUUGAUAAAGGAAGUUAAGGAUUGCAAAUGCUCAUACCAUAAAUUCAACAGCAUUACCGUAUUAUUCUUCCUUGAUAGUAAGGAAGGCUUUUGGAAUGACGAGACAACCAUGGUAUCUUGCUGCACUUGUUUUGCCGAUGGUCGUGUUACAUCUGUGACGCAGUCCGAUUUUGCUGUUGGUUGUUGUCUCUGCUCCACGGAGUUGAGCUGAUGAGGGCACAAACUAGAAGAUGGCUAUAAACAUUAAUUUAACGUUGAUGGUAAAGUUCGCAACCAUACCCAAAGUGGCAGGGAUAUCGGCAUCCACCUAUUUCGCCACCCACAAACAGCGAAGGAAUCAAACGAACACGACAGCACCCCUAGCCAUUUUGUUGCUCGCAGAGUAGAUUCUAAGCCUGCAGCGCUGCUGCUGCUGCUGCUGCUGUUAAUUUCCAUGUCAUACAAAUACAGCAUCGGGCUCUGUGUCAGGAGCUUUGCUGAUGCUGUGAGAAGCUUACGGUCUACAAGCAAAUGUUUUUCUUUCUUAUUUGGGAAAAUCCUUUAAUAUGUCCAAACACCAAGUAUUUUACCCUCACUCUUCAUACAGAUCACUUCCAGAACUAUCCAGAAAUUGCUGCCUUGUAUUUUUUCUAAAACUUGUUCACGGUAUUUUCUUACGGUUUAAUAUGGGUGUGGCUGGGGGGGUUGUUGAGAUUUAAGUCGUGUUGAUUAAGUAUCUGUAUUGCUGACGCUAAUGGACAGAGACAUAUGCAAAAUAUAUCCAAGUUGCCCAUAUCCUGUAUGUAUCAUGCCAAAUAUAUUCAAGUUGCCCCCAUAUGUCUAUACAUAGAUACAUAUAUUCCCAAGCCUUGAUUACAAACGUGCCCUUGUUAUGGGACAAGGAAGGAGUACUCCAUUCCGUUCUCAUCCGCCCAGAAGUUUUGUUGCAAAUAAGGCAGUAGAAAUGACUAACUCACGUUUCAACAGCAUUUAGAGAUGCCAGUAUUAUGUAACGUUAUCAUGGCAUAGCUCUGAGAGUGGUACCCAUAGCUGCCUGCUGCAUUGCCUGCAGCAAGGUCAUUCCCCCGACUGUCAGCGACCAGUCGGUUCUGGAUCUCUCAAUCUACAUUUCUUACAAUGGUGACAGUGCUCGAGCCCUGAGCCUGGACAUAAAGCUUGAAAAUUAAUGCUGUUACAGCAGUGGGCCAUUGAGCCUCAAAGCAUAGAUCAAAAAGUCCUGCAUCUCUGAAAUGUUUUAAAAUCCAAGUUUCUUGAGCUAACUGCAAAAGCAAGCUUAGAAAACCUUUCCCUCACCCAUUUUUCCUCUGGACAUAUUUUUAGGACUAGGCAUCAAGUUACUCUGUGUUCUGGCAAAAAAAAAAAAAAAAAGAAAAAAAAAAGAAAAGAAAAAAGAAAAAAAAAAAGAAAAGUGCCCCUGCAUAUAUUUGCAUUUCUGUCCCUGUUGUCUUUAUCAGGUGGACUCUGCAGGCUGCUCUAAGUGCUUUCACCAGUGUCUGUCAAGCUAGUGCUGUCUCUCAUGCGCUUUUAAUUCCAGGUACCUCAGCUCAAUAGCAGUUAUGUCUCCUGCCAAAUUUCCACAUUCUUCUCAGGUGUUUGCACUUGUAAACUGUUAUGUUCAUUUGAUUCAGGGCAGCACCAACCAUGGACAUGUUAAGGUUGGGUCUAGUUUUCUCAGCUUCACAGGCAACACUAAAUAGUUAAUGCCUCAAGGGUCUCAAACAAAAUAACUUCUUUCAAGCCCACUUCACAGUAGCAAAGUUCAAUUUAGGGGCACAUUCUCUGAUUCUAUUUAAAUGGAGAGGAACUUGGGGUCCAGAAGAGCCAAGCAUGGACCCAAAUGGAUUUUUCUUGCUUACAGUUUUGUUACCUUCCACUACCCUCCAAUUUUCUUGCCCUGGGCAGCUUCCUACACUGACCAUGCUUAAAGUCAGCCUUGGCCUUCAUUAUCGUUAUUCUCCAGUUUUCAAAGGAAAAGAACCUGGCUGCUAAUCCUGAGGCCAGUGACGACUCUCCUCCUACAGGGAGGCAUAUGUGAUAGCUUGUCUGCUAAAAACUGAGCCAACACAGUGUGAUUCAGACCUUAAGCUUUCCAAGGAAGAGAGCUAUUUCUGAGUUAAGCACAUCAGCUCCCCACACACGCACUCUUUUACGCAGUGCGAAUGGUGCACAGUAUCUGUCCAUCAGCAGACUCUAGUUUUGUAUUUGAAUAUACAACUAAAAUGCUUCUUAACAUUGACAAUAGGUCCCAAAUACACAGUUUCAGUAGUGGAAAAGACAAUGAGAAUCCUGGGAGCAGAUACUAAAAAAACAGCUCAGACACCAGUGUUUCUCCAGGGAGGCAACUAGGGAUGUCGUCAGUGCUUUCCUCUAUUCUCUUUUGCCAGGUCCUUCUACUGUGUAAGAUAUGGCAGAGCACUGAAGGUAUGUUUUCAACUGUCCUGUUUUAAAGUCGGACUAUAUUUCACUGAACACCUAGCAGUAUCUGUUUCCUUAUACUUUUUAUUAUCAGAGGAUGUUCUAUUGUCUCUUUAAUGACACAAAGAAAAAUGUGACUUUCCUAGACAUUACCAAAAGUAGCUGGAACAAUAGUGGUGACAGAGAACAUGAUAUUCCUGAAAUGACUACAGAAAUCUCAACAAUAACAACUGUGUUGCUGCUUUCAAGACCUGCAAUCAAUACAUUAUAUUGCAAGGUGAUGCUUACAUACAUAAGUUAGGAACUGAAAACCACUUUUCUAGUUUCAGCUUUGGUGAACUGUUUAGUUUAGUUACUUUUGUAAUGUGCUACUUAAACACAGUAGCAUGUGAUGCCUGUGAUGCAUGUGAUUGAAUCACUCUUUGUGUCACCUGAAAUCCUUUUUCAAGAGUUCCUAUGCCCUCCAAACAGGCUGUUUUUGGCGAAGAAGUCUCAUGAAACUGAAGGUAGAAGAUUGUAUGACUCUAGGCAAGUCAAGGCCUCAACUCCAAGGAAUGAUGCUGCAUCUACCCUGCCUUUCACUCAGCUUCUGCUAGAAAAGGCCUUACAAGGUACGGUGGAGAUGAAGAAUUUUCUCUCUCAGCCUGCAGCUUUGCACAAGAUGUGUCUUCCUCUGGAAGCUGGUUUCACAUGGUGGCUUAGAUUUUCCCACUUUGUAUCUAGCACCAUUUGAAAUCAGUGUUCUAGGAGCAAGAAUUACAGCGUGGGAAGAGAUCAAGCAGCUGCCAACUUCACCGAUGGCCUCCGCUCCUUAAAAUAGCGCUUUCUCCAACGGUUAAUUUUUGGCCUACCAUCGGCUUUGUAACAUCAUCUGAUCUCUAGACACUAUACAAUCACUGUAAACACUCUCUCAAGCUAGGGCCAAAACAGGAAAAGCUUCCUUCAAAUGUACUUCUACUUAAUAAACAAUGGAUAUUGAGUUAAA